rnacentral:snRNA from 1 species
AUACCUUUCUCGGCCUUUUGACUAAAAUCAAGUGUAGUAUCUGUUCUUAUCAGUUUAAUAUCUUAUAAAUGGGAACCCACGGGUUCCAGGGUGAAUCUCUAUAGGACUUUCCUUUUCCUAUAUGUUUGCCCUCCGAUAUUAAUUUUUUACAGGGAAAGGACCUUAAAUAGUAGCUUACUACUUGGGUUCCUUUUGUGUCACCCUUGCUUUGCACUCCUGUGAGGGCUUGGCACACCCGAC